UACGGAGGGUGCGAACGUUGCUCGGAAUCAUUGGGCGUAAAGCGCACGUAGGCGGCGGCGUAAGCGGGAUGUGAAAGCCCAGGGCUCAACCCUGGAAGUGCAUCCCGAACUGUGUCGCUUGAAUCUCGGAGGGGGACAGAGAAUUCCCGGUGUAGAGGUGAAAUUCGUAGAUAUCGGGAGGAAUACCAGUGGCGAAGGCGGGUCUCUGGACAGUUCCUGACGCUGAGGCGCGAAGGCCAGGGGAGCAAACGAG
rnacentral:rRNA from 1 species